AGGGGAGCCGGAGGGAAACCGAGUCUUAAUUGGGCGUUAAGUUGCAGGGUAUAGACCCGAAACCCGGUGAUCUAGCCAUGGGCAGGUUGAAGGUUGGGUAACACUAACUGGAGGACCGAACCGACUAAUGUUGAAAAAUUAGCGGAUGACCUGUGGCUGGGGGUGAAAGGCCAAUCAAACCGGGAGAUAGCUGGUUCUCCCCGAAAGCUAUUUAGGUAGCGCCUCGUGAAUUCAUCUCCGGGGGUAGAGCACUGUUUCGGCUAGGGGGCCAUCCCGGCUUACCAACCCGAUGCAAACUGCGAAUACCGGAGAAUGUUAUCACGGGAGACACACGGCGGGUGCUAACGUCCGUCGUGAAGAGGGAAACAACCCAGACCGCCAGCUAAGGUCCCAAAGUCAUGGUUAAGUGGGAAACGAUGUGGGAAGGCCCAGACAGCCAGGAUGUUGGCUUAGAAGCAGCCAUCAUUUAAAGAAAGCGUAAUAGCUCACUGGUCGAGUCGGCCUGCGCGGAAGAUGUAACGGGGCUAAACCAUGCACCGAAGCUGCGGCAGCGACACUCAGGUGUUGUUGGGUAGGGGAGCGUUCUGUAAGCCUGCGAAGGUGGCCUGUGAGGGUUGCUGGAGGUAUCAGAAGUGCGAAUGCUGACAUAAGUAACGAUAAAGCGGGUGAAAAGCCCGCUCGCCGGAAGACCAAGGGUUCCUGUCCAACGUUAAUCGGGGCAGGGUGAGUCGACCCCUAAGGCGAGGCCGAAAGGCGUAGUCGAUGGGAAACGGGUUAAUAUUCCCGUACUUGGUGUUACUGCGAAGGGGGGACGGAGAAGGCUAUGUUGGCCGGGCGACGGUUGUCCCGGUUUAAGCGUGUAGGUGUGUGUUCCAGGUAAAUCCGGUUCACUUUAACACUGAGGCGUGACGACGAGGCACUACGGUGCUGAAGCAACAAAUGCCCUGCUUCCAGGAAAAGCCUCUAAGCAUCAGGUAACAUCAAAUCGUACCCCAAACCGACACAGGUGGUCAGGUAGAGAAUACCAAGGCGCUUGAGAGAACUCGGGUGAAGGAACUAGGCAAAAUGGUGCCGUAACUUCGGGAGAAGGCACGCUGACACGUAGGUGAAGUGAUUUACUCACGGAGCUGAAGUCAGUCGAAGAUACCAGCUGGCUGCAACUGUUUAUUAAAAACACAGCACUGUGCAAACACGAAAGUGGACGUAUACGGUGUGACGCCUGCCCGGUGCCGGAAGGUUAAUUGAUGGGGUCAGCGCAAGCGAAGCUCCUGAUCGAAGCCCCGGUAAACGGCGGCCGUAACUAUAACGGUCCUAAGGUAGCGAAAUUCCUUGUCGGGUAAGUUCCGACCUGCACGAAUGGCGUAAUGAUGGCCAGGCUGUCUCCACCCGAGACUCAGUGAAAUUGAACUCGCUGUGAAGAUGCAGUGUACCCGCGGCAAGACGGAAAGACCCCGUGAACCUUUACUAUAGCUUGACACUGAACAUUGAGCCUUGAUGUGUAGGAUAGGUGGGAGGCUUUGAAGUGUGGACGCCAGUCUGCAUGGAGCCGACCUUGAAAUACCACCCUUUAAUGUUUGAUGUUCUAACGUGGACCCGU
rnacentral:rRNA from 1 species